CGUGAACCUCCAGAUCGUGACCUGAGCCGAAGUCGGACGCUUAACCGGCUGAGCCACCCAGGUCAUCUGGAAGACCUUUUUUCCUGUCCUGUCUGCUCCCAGCCCACAUAGACCUGUUCCGUCUCCGUCUUUCUGCAUAUGUAUAGUGGGGCCGGCCCUGGAGCCAGAGACUAAAUACCAAAUUGCCUUGCUCUGCGUGAAGUCUUCUCCUGUUAAAGAGCAAAUUAUUCAAAGACACUUGUUCGAGACGGAUAGCGGUGACGGAUAGAAAUGAUGCCACGCAGGGCCCCGCCAUGCUGUGGUUUCGGGAAGAUGAGCUUCUCACCUCCUGGAGCGCACAUCCUCGUCAGGGAGCAAAAAGUCUUUGUUUAGGAAAACACCCCGCUAAGGGGUGAAAGGGAUGCCCCGCACGCCGCCUGGAGACAGGGAUGCCACCGCGCGAAUCUGCUCCCUCAACAGACAUUUAUGGAACACCGACUGCGUGCUGGGGGUGCUGCCGCAGGACGCUGAGGACGCAGGAGGAACCUGCGCACAGAUCCGUGGUUUCUGUCGCUCCCCAGGUGAUGACAGCCUCCUUCCCUAAAAGCUUUGCCGGCUCCUCCUGCCUGAAGGUGACGUCUGAACAACUCCAGACGCUGGGUGAUGACCCUUCACAGCCCAGACCCAGCUCACCUGUUCGGCCCGUCCUCUGAAAUCCCUCAGGAAGUCCCACCACCCUGAGAUCACGUCUGAUUCCUGGAUGUUCCUGGAAUGCAUCAGGCCGGCUGCAAAGCCUCCACACCCCGAAUUCCAUUCCCACAGCCUCCACACCUUCUCCCCUGCACCUUUCCUGCCGAUCCUUCUGAGCCAGGCUAGGGGGCACUGGCCUCGUGGCUGUCCCUGACUACGCCUAUUCUCCCCACCCCGCCCCCCUCGCUCCGCCCAACCCAGCAGCCACCAUCAUGCUGGCCUCCGGGCUCCGGUGGUGCUCCCGGCUGGCAGGGAUGGACCGGAUCAUCGUGAGUUGCUUCCACCGUCUCUCUCCUCCUGAACUGUACCAGGGAGAAGACCUGUGUCUUGUUCGUCUCAGUGCCCACCCAGCACCUGGCACUCAACGAGCCUCUACCGAGUUGAGCUGUCUGGGCAGCGAGGGUGAGAAAUCCUUUUACCUAAGGAUCUACAGAACUUUCCCCAGGGUUGGGAAGACAGGAAUAUCAACUAUGGCUGCAGCCUCCUCUCCGGUGAAUUUUCAUUCAACUCCCAGUAUAAAUAGCUCCCUUUCCCCCUAUCAGAGAACAUCUGCUCCCACUGAGCUGCCCAGGCCUGUACCAGCACUAUAAAUAUCCUGGCCGCGUCUAGCCUGCCCUGGCACAGGGGCCAGGAGAACUUGGAAAGAGUUGAACACCAAGCGAGGUGAGGGCAGCCCGAGUGAAGGAGCAGAAUUGCCCCAUCUCCCCCUCUUGCGCCCCCAGCCACAGGCCGACAACGCUUCCCGCGUGGGCUGGGAACCCCCCACGGUAGUCCCGGGAAUUCGGCAGAGACAGUCAGCUGCCCCUGCUCUCCUGGGUUUCGACACAGCGUGUGAUGCAAGGACCCCGCUCCCGUCUCGGCGGCUGAGAUGCGGCUUGAAACUCAAUUUGAGCCAGCUCUCCCCACUCCGGCGGGGCUCUUGCAGGAUGGGAGGUGAUAGGGCUUUGAGAGCAUUGCCUUUCGUGCACAUUUAUACGGAAUCGUGUGAUGCUGUGCUCCUCGAAGCUACUCCUUAAAUUCAAUAAACCGAAGGAAGUCCACAUGGUGGCGUGGUCUAGAAUCUGCACACAUUUCCGAGGUGGAAAAAGGGAGGCUAGUGUUGGGGAGAAGGGACCUGGGAAACAGCCUCUAUGUAAAAACACCAGCCGCAGGGGCGCCUGGGUGGCUCAGUCGGUUGAACGUCUGACCUCGGCUCAG